GAUGAACGCUAGCGGCGCGCCUAACACAUGCAAGUCGAACGGGGUCUUUUGGAGCUUGCUUUGGAAGACCUAGUGGCGGACGGGUGAGUAACACGUGAGCAACCUGCCGAAGAGUGGGGGAUAACGUCUGGAAACGGACGCUAAUACCGCAUAAUAUAUCCGGGUGGCAUCGCCUGGAUAUCAAAGGAGUAAUCCGCUUUUUGAUGGGCUCGCGCCCGAUUAGGUAGUUGGUGGGGUAAUGGCCCACCAAGCCGACGAUCGGUAGCCGGACUGAGAGGUUGAUCGGCCACAUUGGGACUGAGACACGGCCCAGACUCCUACGGGAGGCAGCAGUGGGGAAUAUUGGGCAAUGGGCGCAAGCCUGACCCAGCAACGCCGCGUGAAGGAAGAAGGCUUUCGGGUUGUAAACUUCUUUGACCAGGGAAGAAACAAAUGACGGUACCUGGAAAACAAGCCACGGCUAACUACGUGCCAGCCGCCGCGGUAAGAC
rnacentral:rRNA from 1 species